AGCGAACGUUAGCGGCGGGCUUAACACAUGCAAGUCGAGCGAGAAAGCGGCUUCGGCCGUGAGUACAGCGGCGGACGGGUGAGUAACACGUGGAUAAUCUACCUUGCUGCGGGGGACAACAGUCCGAAAGGAUUGCUAAUACCGCAUACGUCGGCUGGGGCAUCGGCUCUGGUCGGGAAAGCAGCCCUCUCCAUGGAAGGUUGCACAGCAAGAUGAGUCCGCGUCCCAUCAGCUAGUUGGUAGGGUAAUGGCCUACCAAGGCAUAGACGGGUAGCUGGUCUGAGAGGAUGAUCAGCCACACUGGAACUGAGACACGGUCCAGACUCCUACGGGAGGCAGCAGUGGGGAAUAUUGGGCAAUGGGCGGAAGCCUGACCCAGCCACGCCGCGUGAGUGAUGAAGGCCUUCGGGUCGUAAAGCUCUGUGGGGAGGGAAGAAAAAGCGCCGCCUAAUACGCGGUGAACUGACGGUACCUCCUUAGCAAGCACCGGCUAACUCUGUG
rnacentral:rRNA from 1 species